rnacentral:rRNA from 1 species
UACGAAGGGGACUAGCGUUGUUCGGAUUUACUGGGCGUAAAGCGCGCGUAGGCGGAUCGCUAAGUCAGGGGUGAAAUCCCAAGGCUCAACCUUGGAACUGCCUUUGAUACUGACGAUCUGGAGAUCGGGAGAGGUGAGUGGAAUUCCGAGUGUAGAGGUGAAAUUCGUAGAUAUUAGGAAGAACACCAGUGGCGAAGGCGGCUCACUGGCCCGGUACGUGACGCUGAGGCGCGAAAGCGUGGGGAGCAAACAGG